UGACUAUGAUUGUAGGUUUCCUGCAGCCUCCCUAGCCAUGUGGAAUGAGUCUAAAACUGCUCAGAAAAUGUUCUGGUACCUUUGAUUAGUUCAAAAGGUCUUUUAAUUGGAAGUUGGAAUGGGACUCAACAAGCUUCUCAGCAACAGUGUGACCUAAAUGACGAUUCCUUUAUAAAGGCAGAUUUGGCCAGGAGGAGCUUGUGGCAAAUCUUCCCACAGCUUUCCUCCAACUGCUCAACAGCAAAGAUAUUUAUGUCACUGCGAAUCUCUACACCUGUGGUCAGUGAUUUCAUGCUGCUCAUGGCUCAUUUCAUGCUGAGCAGCAGGAAAGGCCGUUGUGCAGCUUUCCCAGGCUGAAUAUGAACUCAUCUUUUCUGGAGCUGUCCCACACUUUCCCUAGACUGCGGAGAAGGGCAGAAAACAUGCUCUGUGGUACUAUUGCUUGGACUUUUUCUUCAGGCUGCUUCACGGAUAAGGUUGGGCCUGCUGCAGGUUAAGUUGGUGGAAUGGAAAGGAUAAGGUACUCAUGUGAUAUGUCUCUCAGCCUACCUUGUAAACACAGAGGCCUUACACAAAUGCUGUUCCAGUUGAUAUUAUUAUCAGGAAUAAAGGAACUUAGUUGGCUCCUGGAUAAAAUAUGACUUUCAUGUAUGCUGUUGCUUUUCA